GGAGGGUGCAAGCGUUGUUCGGAAUCACUGGGCUUAAAGCGCGUGUAGGCGGAAUGCAGGGUGUUGUGUGAAAUCCCCGGGCUCAACCCGGGAACUGCGCGGCAAACCGGCAUUCUUGAGGCAGGUAGAGGUGACUGGAACGACCGGUGGAGCGGUGAAAUGCGUAGAUAUCGGUUGGAACGCCGGAGGCGAAAGCGGGUCACUGGGCCUGUCCUGACGCUGAGACGCGAAAGCGUGGGGAGCAAACAGGAUUAGAUACCCUGGUAGUCCACGCCGUAAACGAUGCGCACUAGGUAUGAGGAGCUCUGACGCUGCUCGUGCCGAAGCAAAAGUGCUAAGUGCGCCGCCUGGGGAGUACGGCCGCAAGGCUAAA
rnacentral:rRNA from 1 species